CAGUGUAAAAUAUGUAUCUAUGUGUGUUUGUGAGACACUGUCUUUUGAGUUUGACUUAAUACAAACUAUUUCCAUUCAUUUAAAUGCUCUCCCAUUAUCAUGACUUCACAUCAGUUGAGCUCCAACAUCAACAUGUUCUCUGCAGCUCUGAUUCUGCUGCUGGCUGCUGGAUCCUGUGUGAACAGUAUUGAUCUCAUCCAGCCAGACUCAAUGCUUGUUCAGCCUGGACAGACUCUGACCAUCACCUGUCAGGUCUCUUAUUCUGUGAGCAGCUACUGGACAAACUGGAUCAGACAACCUGCAGGGAAAGGACUGGAGUGGAUUGGAAGGAGAUAUACUGGAAGCUCUGACUACAAAGAUUCUCUAAAGAACAAAUUCAGUAUCGAAUUAGACACUUCCAGCAACACAGUGACUCAGAAUGGACAGAAUAUGCAGCCUGAAGACUCUGCUGUGUAUUAC